AGAGUUUGAUCAUGGCUCAGAUUGAACGCUGGCGGCAUGCUUUACACAUGCAAGUCGAACGGCAGCGCGGGCUUCGGCCUGGCGGCGAGUGGCGAACGGGUGAGUAAUGCAUCGGAACGUGCCCAGUAGUGGGGGAUAGCCCGGCGAAAGCCGGAUUAAUACCGCAUACGACCUGAGGGUGAAAGCGGGGGACCGAAAGGCCUCGCGCUAUUGGAGCGGCCGAUGUCGGAUUAGCUAGUUGGUGGGGUAAAGGCUUACCAAGGCGACGAUCCGUAGCUGGUCUGAGAGGACGACCAGCCACACUGGGACUGAGACACGGCCCAGACUCCUACGGGAGGCAGCAGUGGGGAAUUUUGGACAAUGGGGGCAACCCUGAUCCAGCCAUGGCCGCGUGCGGGAAGAAGGCCUUCGGGUUGUAAACCGCUUUUGUUCGGGAAGAAAUCCUCUGGGCUAAUACCCCGGGGGGAUGACGGUACCGGAAGAAUAAGCACCGGCUAACUACGUGCCAGCAGCCGCGGUAAUACGUAGGGUGCGAGCGUUAAUCGGAAUUACUGGGCGUAAAGCGUGCGCAGGCGGUUGUGCAAGACAGAUGUGAAAUCCCCGGGCUUAACCUGGGAACUGCAUUUGUGACUGCACGGCUAGAGUGCGGCAGAGGGGAGUGGAAUUCCGCGUGUAGCAGUGAAAUGCGUAGAUAUGCGGAGGAACACCGAUGGCGAAGGCAGCUCCCUGGGCCUGCACUGACGCUCAUGCACGAAAGC
rnacentral:rRNA from 1 species